rnacentral:lncRNA from 1 species
GGCUGCUGGCAGAGCAAGCAUGAAUUCGAUGACUUCAGCAGUUCCGGUGGCCAAUUCUGUGUUGGUGGUGGCACCCCACAAUGGUUAUCCUGUGACCCCAGGAAUUAUGUCUCACGUGCCCCUGUAUCCAAACAGCCAGCCGCAAGUCCACCUAGUUCCUGGGAACCCACCUAGUUUGGUGUCGAAUGUGAAUGGGCAGCCUGUGCAGAAAGCUCUGAAAGAAGGCAAAACCUUGGGGGUAAGUGAGAUUUCCCUUUGCAGGCCACAGACUGCACAGCUGGAGUGAUGGCAGGGGGAAGGGAAGGCCUGGGAAAUACACAAACACUACAUCCCGCAAGUGGGGCUGAGUUGAUCGCGCCUUGCCAAGCACAGGUCUAUUAGAAAGCUCAGCUGCACAACAUCACAGGCGGCCUCUGCUCAGACCUUGUAUUUUCUGAUUUAGGCAUUUUCG